AGGGACGUUGGAACCAAGUCCGUUCCCUUCCUGAAGCCAAGAAUUUGAUGAAUCAUUUGUUCAAUCUGGCAUCUUCCUCCAGGUAGAGUAGCUUUAUCUGCAAACAAAAUUUAUGGUCCAUGUUGUGAUGAAUGACUGAAUCUUUGUCUAUGCCUUUCUAUAUUUCAGGUGUUCAUUGCGAGAUAAAGAAGUUACCUGCAGAGAGAAGGACAUGGAAAUAAGAGAUCUAAAGGAAAAAGUAGUAAGGUUGAGCUGUUCACUUCGACAGUUGGAAAUGCAGAAGUCUGAACUUAUUCAUCAGUUGAAAUUGCUGGUUAGUAUCGAGAGCUCCACUUAAUCCAGAUUAAUCUUGAGAAAUAAAUUUUGUGUAUAACUUAAAAUUUACUGAUAUAAUGAAACUUAAAAAUUUUCUCCUUUCCAAAUUUAAGUUGCAGUUUAUAAAAUUGAAGAAAUAUUGGUCCUUGUUUUUGCAACUUUGAUUAUCCAAUUAAUUGGUAACUUCUUUUCUUU
rnacentral:lncRNA from 1 species